rnacentral:rRNA from 1 species
GAUGAACGCUGGCGGCGUGCCUAAUACAUGCAAGUCGAGCGAACGGACGAGAAGCUUGCUUUUCUGAUGUUAGCGGCGGACGGGUGAGUAACACGUGGAUAACCUACCUAUAAGACUGGGAUAACUUCGGGAAACCGGAGCUACUACCGGAUAAUAUUUUGAACCGCAUGGUUCCAAAGUGAAAGACGUUCUUGCUGUCACUUAUAGAUGGAUCCGCGCUGCAUUAGCUAGUUGGUAAGGUAACGGCUUACCAAGGCAACGAUGCAUAGCCGACCUGAGAGGGUGAUCGGCCACACUGGAACUGAGACACGGUCCAGACUCCUACGGGAGGCAGCAGUAGGGAAGCUUCCGCAAUGGGCGAAAGCCUGACGGAGCAACGCCGCGUGAGUGAUGAAGGUCUUCGGAUCGUAAAACUCGGUUAUUAGGGAAGAACAUAUGUGUAAGUAACUGUGCACAUCUUGACGGUACCUAAUCAGAAAGCCACGGCUAACUACGUG